UAUUUUCAAAAAGUCUUCUUUCUAUUUGGAGAGAAUGUGGAAACCAGCCAAUUUCGACCAUUUAUACCAUAUUGCUAUAAAAUAAAUAGAGAAACGCGAAACGUAUUCCCAGCAAGCCGAAGUUUUUAUAACGUUGCGGUAAUCAUAGAUUACAACAAGAGAGAAUAGUAAAGUAGAGUUCCCCAACUAUCUGAUACCCGUUACUCAGCUACUGGAAGUGCGAAGGAUACAUUUCAACAAUAACAGUUUUGGGCGUUUGGGCUGUAAAGGACUGCUCACGAUAUUAUAAAUUAUAAUUUAUAUUAUUAUAAUUUACAAUUAUACUACCUAACGUGCUUCCCUAGCAAUACCAUAAGAACUUAAACGAGACCUCUUAAUCCCUUUCGACGGCCGGGUAAGCAACAUUUUGUUAUUAAAGUGCUAGCUGCGGCAAGUAACUCUGCGCAUCUGUAUUCAUAUAUUGAUAAAGUUGUAAAAGUUAAAAGUUGUGCAGAACAAUAAAAAUAAAUUCUAAUGAAGAUGACUGGCCAGCAUGUCGUAUCACUGGACUUUGGGCGACGGACUGAGUUUUUCGAGUUGAACGUCAUUUGUGCCAGCAGUUUUCUCUUCUUACAUAAGCAGCGCCAGAUGGAAAAUGGCAAUGUGAUGGUGAGGUGCACGAAGGCAGAUGACUUGUGAUGCUGCACUUCCGUAAUUUUUCGGACCAAAAGCGAGAAAAACAAUUGAGUAGACUGUCGGAGCAUCAAAAUUCAAACGUCAAAAGGAACGUCGAAACGAGAAGAGCACAAGCCCCAAGCUCCCAGUACCCAAAGCGCAGAGCCCUGAACUCAAUGCCCCGAACCCCAGUGACAGCUAUCCAGUGAAGCGUCAAAGUUCCUAAUGCACACAACAAAUUUCUUAUAUAAGGCGGUAGAGGAUACGGAACUGAAGAUGAGGAGAAGGCAACGGUGGAGCAGCUGGACACUGAAAAGGACGAUGGCGACAACUGCGAUGAGGGAAAAGGACGCGCAGGACGAAAAGUAGGAAAGGACCUACGCGACACAUCAGGCAGAAAUGUCGUGGACAAAAUGACGUUGUCACGAAAAUUGCAGAAUAUAAAAUUCCUAGUUCCGGUGCCGCCAACGACAUCCAACAACAACACUCAAAAGUGAACCCAAACCACAUGAAACAUCCUGCCUGCCUGGUCUCACUUCGAUUUUGUGUCCAAGGACAAUGCAGAGAAAGCUACACUACUAAAAUAUACAAAAUAGGACAAAAUAUACAAAACGGAAUUAUAAUUGUAAACAAGGAUACUUGAAAAUUGUUGUUAACAUCCUCGGCUGGGAUCGUGUACUGAUGAAGACGUCUACUAAGAAAAAACGAAGCAUGGACGACAUAGGGCAACGUAGGAAACUUUUCAAAAAUUAUUGAAAUGUCACGUAGCAACUUCUCAAAUUGCAAAAAUCCUGACGCUGUCGUUCAAUGCGCUCUGCGGAUUGAUAGAGCGAGUCGUGAACCAAGGAGAAUUCGCAGGCAGCACAUCUUAGGAGGUGGGUGGCCAGUGGGAGAUCGUACUGGGCUGCACUUGUCGCCUGCAGUUUGAAGGUGAAAGAGAAAGAACAAGUGUCUGGGCUGGGGUGAUGGGCGGGGGUGGAGCAGUCACGCCUCGGCCGCUGACACUAAGACGCCAGCCCAACAAAAUCGUCGAGCCAGCCAUCCCCAAGGCAGCAGCAAAUCCAAUACACACGACCACUGGAUGCCCCUAGUUCUGCUUCAAAAGUCACCCAGCACCACCAUAUCUCUUCUCCUAUCCAGCCCAACCCCAGUUACCAACCGCAAUUUAACGUGCGAACGACAGUUUGACCCAAGAACCGGGCUUCUGUUUUUCUUUAUACUUUCUUUAGGGUGCAAAACAUCAUUAGGAUAUAGCAGGAGCGGAAUGCAGGAUUUGAUCCAACGUGGCUAUCAGGCUUCAAGUGGCCUCACCAAAUUAUUAAAAAAUUUUGAACUGAGAA